rnacentral:lncRNA from 1 species
AUGAAAGGAUCUCAGACUGAAUCUGAGCAGCAGGAACGGUUGUUUGCCAUGUUGGAGCAGAAGAAUGGUGAAAUAAAACAUCUUUUAGGUGAAAUUAGAAAUCUGGAGAAAUUUAAGGAAGGAAUGCUGAUUGUUUUACUUACUGCAGAAGGCAAAUGAAUUAGUGGGGACUCCUUACCAGAAUGCCUGCCAAAUGAAUUUAUAUGAAAGUAUGGAAUCUAAGCCUUCCAUGCCAGACAGUUCUGGUGUUCUAGAAGACAAAACCUUCUAUACAGAUUUACUUCAGCUAAAACUUGAUAACUUAAAGUAAGUGUCUGGGUGGGUAGAUGGAAAGAUGAAGACUUUUCACAUGCUUAAAAUAGAUAGCAUUAAUGGCUACAAUUUUUUUCUUUAAUUGCCAAAUUUCCAAAAAAGAAAG